UCCGCACCCUCCAAGUCCCUGCCCAAGACCCAUACAAGUGAUUCCCAUUCUACAGAUGGGGACAACAGAGGCAGAGACAGGGUACAGGAUGUCCCCGAGGCCACAGGACAAGUAACAGAAAGAGGCUGAACCUUGGAAGUAGAAGGAAAAAGGAAGAGGAGGAGGACAAAAUGCUUCUUUGUUCUUCUGGAAUUCAGGCUCCCAGCUCUCCCGAGCCAGCUGUGUGCUGCGUUCUGGAAUGUUUCUCAAGGCAAAGAUAGCUUCUUUCCCUUUCUUCUGCGUUCUCCUCAGCUUCCCACCUGCUUGUUGCUGUCUGCUGGUGUCACACCUCCUGCUGCCGAGAGCUGGGAGCUGAGCCGGGCUGGGUGAGACCGGGGCUCCAUCUGCCCGCGUUCUGGGACUGUCUGAAGCCAAGAGAAGAGCCGGUGUUCCCAGGAUGAGGUGGGAGGCCUGUUUCCUCCAGCUGGAACAACAGAGCCCCUCUGUGGGCUGGACUCGCAGAGGCCACGGAGCCCGGCCGGGCAUCUCCAGGGCCAGCCCUGACGCCAGCGCAGCUUCCUGAGGAGCUGGGUGAAGCCGGAUUCCGAGUGCUGGAGACGUGAACCUUGCCCAUGCCAGGCCAGCACUCUGCCACUGAGCUCCACCCCGUCAGCCCCCAGUAUCAAUUUGAAAGCAACUAGGCUAACCUUUUCCAGAGCCACCUUCUCCAUAAGGCACAGCACACAUGGGGCCUAGGAUCCGGGAUACCUUCAGAAGACUGUGAAAGAAAGGCUGAAUUUCUUUCUAAAGAAAAGAAGACUAGAAUGAUGAAAACUAGAUGAUGCAUCUCAUCUAGUUUUAUAUUAAUAAAACUGAAUACAGUGA